UAACAUAGCAAUAGCCUGACACAGAAGACUGCACCUGAUAGUUGUCUUAGCACAUCUCAAAAUUAAAUGUGUAUGAAUAGACUACUUUUUCAAGACAAUGCUAUUUCCUGAGACGUAGUACUUUUUCUGCUAACUCCAUUCUUUGAUGCAUACUUUCUGUCAGUCAAUGCUGAGGAUCCUCCUAUGGUUGUGGUCCGAAAAUUUGUCCACCUGCUGGACCAAAGUGACCAGGAUUUUCAGGAGGAGCUUGACCUUAUGAAGAUGCGGGAAGAGGUUAUCACCCUCAUUCGUUCUAACCAGCAGCUGGAGAAUGACCUCAAUCUCAUGGAUAUCAAAAUUGGACUGCUAGUGAAAAAUAAGAUUACGUUGCAGGAUGUGGUUUCCCACAGUAAAAAACUUACCAAAAAAAAUAAGGAACAGUUGUCUGAUAUGAUGAUGAUAAAUAAACAGAAGGGAGGUCUCAAGGCUUUGAGCAAGGAGAAGAGAGAGAAGUUGGAAGCUUACCAGCACCUGUUUUAUUUAUUGCAAACCAAUCCCACCUAUCUGGCCAAGCUAAUUUUUCAGA
rnacentral:sRNA from 1 species